UUGUUAUUCCAUUUAUGAGGUGUGAGUCCUCUCUUUGCA
rnacentral:tRNA from 1 species